rnacentral:lncRNA from 1 species
UCGGCUGUAAUGUUUAACGUCUCUUCUUGCCUGAUUUUGCAGCACCGGAUUUGGAUGGGGUAACGAGCAAGUACACGAACAGAACCACAAUGGAGAUCACAGAAAUUAGAGACCCAUACUUAACCAACAGCUUCUGUAAAUAGAGAAAUUCUAAUGUUAGAAAAUAGAACGAGUAUUAUUGCAUAUUGAGGGAAGAAAAGCAUGUCAUUAUGGAGACUAGAAGAAGCAGUUACAGUUGCUCUACAUAAAAUUGGGGAAAAAAUGGUCUUCAAGGAACCUCAUGCCAGUUGCUCGACACCAAGUCAGGAGGGGUAAAAGGGUGUUUGAAAAAUGGACAAUGAGGCCUUACUUCUUUUGGCCUUUUUACUUGUCAAGUCAAAUUUGAAUUCCAGGAAGCAUGUUAUAAUAACUUUUAACAACUAAUGAUCAAGACAAUAAGAAGAUGAUUCGUACCUUUGCCUGCAGAAUUUUGGCCAAACCAGAGGUCAUCCCAUAGAAAAUGAAAGAAAAAAGACCACCUUAAGUUAACAGCAAAACCAAAAAGAAGGGUGUCCAAGCAUAAAUUGAUGAACUUGCAUGUUUGAAAUCCCAACAAGAAACUUACCCACUCGAGCUUCUGCACUGGUGGUUUGUCUGCAAGGACAUCAAGAGGCAGAAUGGGAGUUGAGUAUGCCUCCUG